GAUGAACGCUGGCGGCGUGCCUAAUACAUGCAAGUCGAGCGAACAGACGAGGAGCUUGCUCCUCUGACGUUAGCGGCGGACGGGUGAGUAACACGUGGAUAACCUACCUAUAAGACUGGGAUAACUUCGGGAAACCGGAGCUAAUACCGGAUAAUAUAUUGAACCGCAUGGUUCAAUAGUGAAAGACGGUUUUGCUGUCACUUAUAGAUGGAUACGGGCCGCAUUAGCUAGUUGGUAAGGUAACGGCUUACCAAGGCAACGAUGCGUAGCCGACCUGAGAGAGUGAUCGGCCACACGGGAACUGAGACACGGUCCAGACUCCUACGGGAGGCAGCAGUAGGGAAUCUUCCGCAAUGGGCGAAAGCCUGACGGAGCAACGCCGCGUGAGUGAUGAAGGUCUUCGGAGCGUAAAACUCUGUUAUUAGGGAAGAACAAAUGUGUAAGUAACUAUGCACGUCUUGACGGUACCUAAUCAGAAAGCCACGGCUAACUACGUG
rnacentral:rRNA from 1 species